UACGGAGGGUCCAAGCGUUAUCCGGAAUCAUUGGGGUUAAAGGGUCCGUAGGCGGUUUUGUAAGUCAGUGGUGAAAGCCCAUCGCUCAACGGUGGAACGGCCAUUGAUACUGCAAGACUUGAAUUAUUAGGAAGUAACUAGAAUAUGUAGUGUAGCGGUGAAAUGCUUAGAGAUUACAUGGAAUACCAAUUGCGAAGGCAGGUUACUGCUAAUGGAUUGACGCUGAUGGACGAAAGCGUGGGGAGCGAACAGG
rnacentral:rRNA from 1 species